rnacentral:sRNA from 1 species
UGCUGGGAUUACAGGCGUGAGCCACCACACCCGGCCACUCCUGUGCUUUUCUAGUUCUCUGAACCACAUCAUUGCAGCAACUCUGUUGAUGUAUGCAUGAAUUUGGAAAAUGAUCCAUGUGCCUUUCCCUUCAAGGAACAUGGUGGUGGCUUUGAAGGAACUGUCCAUCCGAGGCGACUUUAGGACUACCGUGGAAUACCUCAUUAACCUCCUGGAGACCGAGAGCUUCCAGAACAACGACAUCGACACCGGGUGGUUGGACUACCUCAUUGCUGAGAAAGUGCAGGCGGAGAAACCGGAUAUCAUGCUUGGGGUGGUAUGCGGGGCCUUGAACGUGGCCGAUGCGAUGUUCAGAACG